UACGUAGGAUCCAAGCGUUGUCCGGAUUUACUGGGCGUAAAGGGCGUGCAGACGGUUUGUUAAGUCUAGGGUGAAAGCUCCCGGCUCAACUGGGAGAGGUCCUUGGAUACUGGCAAACUUGAGGGAGGCAGAGGAGAGUGGAAUUCCCGGUGUAGUGGUGAUAUGCGUAGAUAUCGGGAGGAACACCAGUGGCGAAGGCGGCUCUCUGGGCCUUUCCUGACGCUGAGACGCGAAAGCGUGGGGAGCGAACCGG
rnacentral:rRNA from 1 species